rnacentral:rRNA from 1 species
GACGAACGCUGGCGGCGUGCUUAACACAUGCAAGUCGAACGGAAAGGCCCUGCUUUUGUGGGGUGCUCGAGUGGCGAACGGGUGAGUAACACGUGAGUAACCUGCCCUUGACUUUGGGAUAACUUCAGGAAACUGGGGCUAAUACCGGAUAGGAGCUCCUGCUGCAUGGUGGGGGUUGGAAAGUUUCGGCGGUUGGGGAUGGACUCGCGGCUUAUCAGCUUGUUGGUGGGGUAGUGGCUUACCAAGGCUUUGACGGGUAGCCGGCCUGAGAGGGUGACCGGCCACAUUGGGACUGAGAUACGGCGCAGACGCCUGCGGGAGGCAGCAGUGGGGAAUAUUGCACAAUGGGCGGAAGCCUGAUGCAGCAACGCCGCGUGCGGGAUGACGGCCUUCGGGUUGUAAACCGCUUUCGCCUGUGACGAAGCGUGAGUGACGGUAAUGGGUAAAGAAGCACCGGCUAACUACG